UCUGCCUGUAGCUGUUCCUGCAGCCUACGUUUCUGCUGAAGAUGCUUGACUUUUUGCAGAUGAGAUUGAUGCAGUGAAAUGAAGCAUCGCUGCGAUGAUAGGAACACCACCCUGGAAUGUCCCCGAGGCUCCAGGGACCACCAUUUUGUCCUGAGAGGAAAACCAGCUUCCUCCUUCAGGAGACCUGUGUGUCGCGACGAAGGGUCUCACAACUCCAGCUACCACCAUGGGCUUGAGUAUUUCAAGUCAAAACAUUCCCU